rnacentral:rRNA from 1 species
UACGGGGGGGGCAAGCGUUGUUCGGAAUUACUGGGCGUAAAGGGCUCGUAGGUGGCCAACUAAGUCAGACGUGAAAUCCCCAGGCUUAACCUGGGAACUGCGUCUGAUACUGGAUGGCUAGAGUUUGGGAGAGGGAUGCGGAAUUCCAGGUGUAGCGGUGAAAUGCGUAGAUAUCUGGAGGAACACCGGUGGCGAAGGCGGCAUCCUGGACCAACACUGACGCUGAGGAGCGAAAGCCAGGGGAGCAAACGGG